rnacentral:piRNA from 1 species
UAAGACAGUGUGAUAUUGGAAUCCAG